rnacentral:tRNA from 1 species
GGGCCGGUAGUUCAGCGGUAGAAUGUCCGCCUUGCAAGCGAGAGGUCGCGGGUUCGAAUCCCGCCCGGUCCA